rnacentral:lncRNA from 1 species
AAUCGCUCGGAGCAUAUGCAUCCCAAGAAACGUGAGUAAUAGAAUAUCUAGACUAUGAACGGAUGAACAGACAUUCGAUCUGCAUGCUGAGUAUUACAACUAAGCAUUGGCUAGAGCGGGUAUAGGGAUAAAAUAGAAUAUAUAGGGAUUAAGACUGGGAAGACCCAAUAUCCAGAGCCAUUAUCAAUAGUGGUAAUAACCAUAAAAUAGCCACAGAAUACAAGAAUCUAGAAAAAUAGCUUUUAAUCUCUUGAUUUAUUUAUUUUAAGUUUUUCUAAUUUUUAAUUUUUAUUUUUCAAUGUUUAAUCUUUCAAUGUUUUUAACUCUUUAAUUUUUCAAUUUUUUUAAAUACUGUAUUUCUAUCGCUUUUGGAAUUAUUAAAUUUUUUGAUUUUUAAAAGUUAAAAUACUUUUAUUACCUAAUAAUAUUUAAAUUUUUAUUCUUACUCUUAUUUUCCAAUUUUUUUAUACCUCGCUUACCAUUUGUUUCUCAUUUUUAAUUCCAAUUCUAUUUAAUAUUCACUUCGUAAAUUUACUAACUUUUUACUUCGUAAUAUUGAAAUUCUCCAACAUCCUAUUUCAUUUAAAUUUAAAUUUUUAAAGUUCACAUUAUUUUCUUAUUUCUAAACCUUUGAGGUACGAAGGAAAAUUUAUAACAUCUCUGAUAUUGUUAUAAUCUUGUGUUUGUUUCAGUCAUUAGACAGCGGCCAUGUGGGAGCACCACUUUGAGGAAUUGAGGUUAUUUUUGUAUUAUCUGAAAUGGAAUACACGAUUAUCGAUUAAUUUCCCAAAAUUGAAUAUAUAUAUAUAUAUAUAUAUAUAUAUAUAUAUAUACAUUCUUAUAUAUAUAUAUAUAUAUAUAUAUAUAUAUAUAUAUAUAUAUAUUCUUAUAUAUAUAUAUAUAUAUAUAUAUACAUAUAUGUAAAUAUACAUUACAGAUAUAGGGUGAAAUAUAAUUAAUUUAAUAAAAUCAACAAAUUUCACCUAGUAGUAUUUCGGUAUGUAAAUAUAUAUACAUUCAUGCAUAUAUAUAUAUAUAUGCAUAUAUGUGUGUACACACACGCAUUCAUACACAUAUACAUAUAUAUAUAUAUAUACACGACAGGAUUCUUUCAGUUUCCAUUUAUCAAAUUCAUUCACAAGGUUUUGGUCGGCCUGAGGUUAUAGCAGAGGAUACUUGCCCAAAGUGACACGAAGUGAGACCGAAAGCGGGACUGUGUGUUCGAGAGGCAAAUUUCUUAGCACACAGCCGUUAUUUUCUUGAUAUUUCUUAAUAUUUAACAUUUGGAAGGUGGUCACCGACCAGAUUCGUUAGCACGCCGGACGAAAUGCUUACGAGUAUUCUGUCCGUAUUUAAAUUGAAAUUGCGCCGAUGUUGACUUUGCCUUUUCAUCCUUUCGGAAUCGAUAAAAUAAGUACCAGUUGUGUACUGGGGUCGAUGUAAUCGACUUACACCAUCACCAGAAAUUGCUGGUUUUGUGCCAAAAUUUGAAACCAAUAUUUAACUCCGAUUUUUCAUAUUUUAUUCUUAGGAAGCUUUGCGACCUAUCUUUCAACAUUUGUUUAUCUACUUUUUAAAAUUUAUGUAUUAAUUUAUUAUUUUAUACCCAUUUCAACCAAAGCAUAAUUAAGUUUAAGUCAAGUAAUGGGUUAUUUUUCUUCUUUCCUCUGAACGAUACAGAGAGGAUUCUUUCUUCCCGCCAGCGGGACAAGUAUUUGAUUCGCGAUGGAUGAAGUUGUUUAGCGACCAUCUUAUCGUUGACACAAAAACGUAUGAGUUCUAUAACUGUACCUUUCAAUAAAUAUAGACCCCUAUUACUAACGAUAUCGAGGUCUACACACGAUUUGUCACAGGCAAUUUGUCGAUGUCUACACACGAUUUGUCACAGGCAAUUUGUCGAUGUCGACACAAUUUGUCACAAGCAAUUUGUCGAUGUCCAUACACGAUUUGUCACAGGCAAUUUGUCGAUGUCUACACACGAUUUGCCACAGGCAAUUUGUCGAUGUCGACACACGAUUUGUCACAAGCAAUUUGUCGAUGUCCAUACACGAUUUGUCACAGGCAAUUUGUCGAUGUGGACACACGAUUUGUCACAGGCAAUUUGUCGAUGUCUACACACGAUUUGUCAGAGGUAAUUUGUCGAUGUGGACACACGAUUUGUCACAGGCAAUUUGUCGAUGUCUACACACGAUUUGUCACAGGUAAUUUGUCGAUGUCUACACACGAUUUGUCACAGGCAAUUUGUCGAUAUCUACACACGAUUUGUCACAGGCAAUUUGUCGAUGUCGACACACGAUUUGUCACAGGCAAUUUGUUGAUGUCUACACACGAUUUGUCACAGGCAAUUUGUCGAUGUCUACACACGAUUUGUCACAGGCAAUUUGUCGAUGUCUACACACGAUUUGUCACAGGAAAUUUGUCGAUAUGGACACACGAUUUGUUACAGGCAAUUUGUCGAUGUCUACACACGAUUUGUCACAGGCAAUUUGUCGAUAUCUACACACGAUUUGUCACAGGCAAUUUGUCGAUGUCGACACACGAUUUGUCACAGGCAAUUUGUCGGUGUCUACACACGAUUUGCCACAAGCAAUUUGUCGAUGUCGACGCCCGAUUUGUCACAAGCAAUUUGUCAAUGUCCAUACACGAUUUGUCACAGGCAAUUUGUUGAUGUCUACACACGAUUUGUCACAGGCAAUUUGUCGAUGUGGACACACGAUUUAUCACAAGCAAUUUGUCGAUGUCCACACACGAUUUGUCACAGGCAAUUUGUCGAUUUCACAGGCAAUUUGUCGAUGUCUACACAUGAUUUGUCACAGGCAAUUUGUCGAUGUCUACACGCGAUUUGUCACAGGCAAUUUGUCGAUGUCUACACACGAUUUGUCACAGGCAAUUUGUCGAUGUGGACACACGAUUUGUGACAGGCAAUUUGUCGAUGUCCAUACACGAUUUGUCACAGGCAAUUUGUCGAUGUGGACACACGAUUUGUCACACACAAUUUGCCGAUGUCUACACACACACACAUGCACGCACAUAGACACACACACAAUCACACACACAUACAAGCACACACAAUCAUGCACAUACACACACACACACGCACACGUAUACGUAUCAUAUAAUAUUAGUAAUUCUUUUAUUCUUUUUCCUAGGCUGUAUUGGAAUUUCUCUCCGUAUGAGAUUUCUUCUCAGUUAUCCGCUCACAGUCUGUUACAAUAAACCACUUACGUUCCGAUUCCGUUUCACAUUGCAGCCUCUAUCUCCACAUUGUAAUUUCAGUUUCUCCAACUCGUCUUCUUUCUCUUCUUCCUAUUUGUACUGUUGAUUUGUUUCCUCCUGUAUCUAGAAAUAUCACGCCAACGAGGUGUAAAGCUUUUCCUUAUAUCAUCGCGAACGUUGAACGUAUACAUUUACUAACGUAGGUAAAAUCAAGUAACGAGGCAUAAAUGCAAUAUUCAAAAGUAUUAUGUGAAACGUGUUUAGUUCAUAAAACUGAUUAAUGCUGAAAACGAUUAUAUAUAUAUAUAUAUAUGUGUGUGUGUGUGUGUGUGUGUGUGUGUGUGUGUGUGUGUGUGAGUGUGUGUCUGUGUGCGCAUGCAUACCCUCUCUCUUCCUUUCUCUCUCUCUCUCUAUAUAUAUAUUAAUAAUAAAAGGGUAAAAUUAAUUAAUUAAUUAAUUGAUUAAUUAAUCAAUUAAUCAAUUAAUAGUUUUCCCAAGUAGAUCGGUACGUUAAAAUAACAUUUUUAGGUAAAAUUACACAAAUAUUCUAUAAUGUGGUUUGGAAGCAAGCUUCUCACUACUCACCCACUUCUGCACCUACAUAUAUAAUAUAUAUGUCUUUCUGCCUGGGUUUGUCCGCGACGUCCGCUUGACAGCCAGCCGGUGUUGGUGUGUUUACGCCCCCUCUAACUUUGCAGUUUGGCAAAAGGGACCAUUAGAAUAGGUAUCAGGCUUAAAAAGGAGAAAGAAAAAAAGCACUGGGGUGGAUGCAUUCGACAAAAAAUUCAAGGCAUUGUUGUAGCAUGGCCACAGUCAGAUGACGGAAACAAGUAAAAGAUAUACAUGCAUACAGAGACACAUGCGCAAUGCAUCCGUUUAAGCACGCGGAGAGAAGAUAUACACACACGCAUACUUAGAAGAGGAUGAAAUAGCUUCAGAUUUAGGAAAGACGAAAGGGGUUGUAUGAGUGCAAGGCAGACAGAUUUAGGAAAAGAUGAAUUACUAAUAAUAAAUGGAAAAUAUGAAAAUAUGCUUUGUUAAUUAGAAUUCAAUUUCGUAGCUACUCUAAUAGAAAUCGAAAACUCUUUAUACAAGUAUGCGAUGCACGUUAAUUGGUAGUGUAUAGAGGGCCGCCUGUCACUUUGCCAAUAGAUCGUUUUGUGACAAUUAAUACAUCUUUCAUAUCGCGGAGAGUUUUGCUGUAGUUGUUGUUGUUGUGGUUGUUUUGAUAUAAUUAUCAUGUAAGUCACAGCAAAUAUCGUUGGUUGAAUAUUUAGUAAUAAUCUUUAAUUAUAAAUUAUUGCCUAACGAUUUAUACAAUCAUUGGAUGUCGCUGUGGUGAUGGUGAUGGUGAUGGUGAUGAUGCCAGUCGGUGGUGGCAGUGGUGAUGUUGCUGAUGGUGGCGGCGGCGGUGGUGAUGGUGGAUAUGUUGUGGUGGAUUUGUCUGCAGCAUUGUUGGAUGUGGAGGGGGAUGGGGUGAUAGUGGCGUUUAUAGAUACGGUGUUGCAAUGUGUGAUAUAAGAAGCUGGCGGUGAAAGUUGGUUGCGAUGAUGGAUACAUCGGCAUUUGUAGUGAUGGCGUAGAUGAGAUGUUAUUGGUGAUAAUAGCGGCAGAUAUGUAAGAGGAUUCGUUGGUGUUGUUGGUGGUUGUGAUAUAUAUGUAUAUAUAUAUAUAUAUAUAUAUAUAUAUAUAUAUAUAUAUAUAUAUAUAUAUAUAUAUGCGUAUCUAUAUAUUCAUUUGUAUAUGCAUAUGUAAAUAUACAUGCGUAUAUAUACAUAUACCUUUCUAUAUUUUCCGACUUCUCUCUCUCCGAUGACGGUAUACUUAGCAUCCCUACUCAAUAUCUAGAUUCACAUGCUUGGCUAUUCUAGAAACAGCUGUAAGGGACUCUGUAUGUUUAUAUCCUAUAUUUAAAUUAAAUAUUUUUCGAGUGAUGCUAAAUGUUUUGCUCUUUCGUUUUCUAUUUUAAUGUAUUUUAAUAUAUAUAUAUAUAUAUAUAUAUAUAUAUAUAUAUAUAUAUAUAUAUAUAUAUGUAUAUAUAUAUAUAGAAAUGUAUGUAUGUAUGUAUGUAUAUGGAUGUACAUGUAUAUACAAGCACACACAUAUAUGCAUACAUACAUACGUAAAUAUAGUUCACGGAUGAAAUCCGAUUAUUCUCAGUAUAGAAGACACUAAGACACUGAAUAGUACUCAAAAUAUUCAAACAUAGACUCUGAUGUCUUUACAGAGAAUUAUUCUACGCGGUUGAGAAAAACUAUAAGCGGGAUCAGGUUGAACGUGUAUAGAGCCAAUUAUGCGGAGAAACAAAUUAGACACAUCAAAUAUAUUAAAAAUAUUAAAUACAUCAAAUACAGAAUGUGUAAGUGAAAUCGUUGUCGUGGCCAAUGACAGUACCGCCUAAUUGGUACCCGUACUGGUGGCACGUAUAAAGCACCAUUUGAGCGUGGUCGAUGCCAGCGCCGCCUGACUGGCUCUCGUGCCGUCUUUUUUUGCCUGUCCUUCUAAUUAUUGUUUUUCUUGUCCGCCUUUGUAUAGUCUAUCUGUCCGAACGUUUUAAUGUCCUCUAUUGCGUUUUUGUUCCAUUUAUACAUACAUACAUACAUACAUACAUACAUACAUACAUACAUACAUACAUACAUACAUAUACACAUAUAUAUAUAUAUAUAUAUAUGGUUUGUAGGCUUUAGAAUUGUCCAAAACCCUUAUUCUUACUUAUUUUGAACGAAUAAGGCAGACAGCCUUAUCAUCAGUAAAUAUUAAUUAUUUGUUCUUGACAAUUCUCUGAGAAAUAUGGUACUUUUAAUUGGUGCAGGACUUGAUGGUUGAUAUUUUUAGAAGAAUAUUCUGAUCAAUUGUUCGUGUGCUGAAAUUUGUGAAUGGACUCAAUGUAUGUUUUAGAUACCCAACAUGUCAAGUAUGAAGAUAAUAUCUUGAUGACUAUAUUUUUCCUGCUGUUAAUCACGUUUGUAAUACCUUCUACAGACAACUCAAAUCGAUAUUUUCAAUCAUAUCUUCUGUCUCUUUUGUUCCAUCACAUUCAGAAUCUCUUUCGUUCAACACGUAUUUUGUUAUCACUUGCAUAACUUUCUAAUGCUAUGCCUUUGUUUGGUCACUCAAACAUUUCUCGAGACGCUUUUUGUAAUAUGUUUUAAUAAGCUCCAGCUACUAUUGUACCUGUAAUUAUGAAGAACAGGCAAGAUAAAGAGGUCAUUGGUGACAAUACUUUUUGUUUAGAAAGCGCUUUUUUCACGUUUAUCUAUUCAGUAUGAGCACAAUCCUUUAACCAUUAUUCCAUCUCUGUAUCAAUUGUUAUUAAAUCUUGUUGAUUCACAGUAUUGUAGGCAUUUCGCGUCGGCAAUCUAUAAAUCAUCAAUAAAAAUAUAAUGGAAUAAAUUGUGGUUCCUUGUAGAGCUUAGCGUCGAACUACUUGAUAUUUUUGACGGAAAUUGCAGUGGAUUUAGGGAAAAUAUUAAUCAGAAGUACAAAUAUGCCGUUUCUUUUAAAUAUUCAUUUUGAAAGCCUUAUUGCUUGAAAGGCAAUCAUGGUGCUUUCAGUUACAGAAUUGUCAGGUCGAGAGCAGUAGAGGCGUUUUCUAUUUUAUUCUAGCUUUAUUAAUUAAGGUAGUUAGUGCUUACAUUUUUAAUGCUGUGCACAUCUAAUUACAAAUAAUUAUUUUUUAGGUAAAAGAUAACAUCAAUUUGAUUACAAGUAUUAUUUUAAUGAAUUAAGUAAUUGUAGGAGUCGAUUUCGGAAUGUUUCGGUACAAUUCAACUUCAUCAGUAAAAUUUAAAGUUCUCUAUGUAUGUAAAAUACUGCUGAGAGAACCACUAAGUAAAAUACAUUAAUAAACAUAAUAUAAAUUAUCAUUGACAUUAAUUACAACCAGACACCAUCCGUUUGAAAAACAAUGGUUUAUGUUUAUGCUGGUCAUUGAACAAAAGCUGUCUUCUCUCACCCCAUUCUUAUCAGAUUUCCGAUAUCCUCUACAUUAAAUAUAUUUACGCUAACACAAUUACUGUUUUUAAAAUUACUCGGCGCGCACUUAACAUAUCCAUGUUUCCAACAGUCCGCACUUGGUCAGACCUGAAAAGGUUUUGGAGGAAUUGCGUGGAGAAAAUUUGAGUAAAGCUUGCAGAUAAUUUGUGAUAAAGCAAUAAGCCUAAAGUUUUUCUGUCAACUGGCUAUUUUUUUGUUUUAUUUCUGGUUCAAGAUUUAUCAUGCAUUGACGAACCACUUUGCUAUGCCAAGUUACGUAAUUCUUUAAGUAAUUUUCCAUACAAUAUCAUUCACCACUAUCCUCUUACUUCAGGAUUUAGGAGGCAGUCGCUUUCGGUCGUUAAAUUCCCUUUUAGUGAGGACACAAAACGGAAUGUUAUUGUUUUCAGUUGUAAUUCCCUUACAUUCCAUAUGUUGGCUAUCAUUCUUCCAAAUCUUUUAGAGUAUAAAGCUUUGGAAUUUUCAUAAGGAUUUUCAUUACACUCUGAUGGAAUUUGUUUUCAUACUCCGAUAUAUAGUGCGUGGUUUAGAAGUAAAGCGGCGGGUAUUACAGCUUCAUUGACGUCUCGCUUUUUGGUUAGAUUUUACAAUUAUAUUUCCUUAUUUAUUUAUUACAUCUUUCUUCGGUAAGUGCAUUUCUCACAUAUUGUUCUCUAUUCAUGUUUCAGAACUACUAAUUGGCGCUCAAUAAUUUCGCAUUUAAAAAAACAAUGUUUAAAUGUAAUUCACUUUUCUUUCAUGCAAUAUACUUUGAGAACGUUGAACUUUAUGUCAAACAAACUUAAAUCUUGUACAUCUAGCAUGAGCAGUAGUAAAUUCUUGAAAGUGAAACCUUCAUCACCGAGCAGCAAAGACGAAGCAUUAAAAGACAAUUGCUAUUUCUACAAAAGCCGAUAAAAUAUGGGGAUGCAUUAGAAAAAAUUUCGAAAGCGACAGAAAAUAGCAUUACACACACACACACACACACACACUUUCACACACUCACUCUAACUCUCUCUCUCUCUCUCUAUGUCACGUGCACACAUAUAUAUUUGCAUAUAUAUAUAUAUACAUAUGCACAAACUCUGUGACGCACACACACACAUACAACACACAUGCACCCCCUCUAACUCUCACUCCCUACCUCUCUCUCUCUCUCUCUCUCUCUGUCAUACACAUACACACAUAUAUAUUUGCAUGUAUAUACAUAUUCUCUUUUAAUCUUUUACUUGUUUCAGUCAUUUGACUGUGGGUAUGCUGGAGCAUUGCUUUUAGUGGAGCAAAUCGACCCCAGGACUUAUUCUUUGUAAGCUUAGUACUUAUUCUAUCGGUCUCUUUUGCCGAACUGCUAAAUUACGGGGACAUAAACACACCAGCAUCGGUUGUCAAGCGAUGUUGGGGGGACAAACAGAGACACACAAAUACACACACGCACACACACACACACACACACACACACACACAUAUAUAUAUAUAUAUAUAUAUGCAUCCGUAUAUACGACAGGCUUCUUUCAGUUUCCGUCUACCAAAUCCACUCACAAGGCUUUGACCGGCCUGAAGCUAUAGUAGAAGACACUUGCCCAAGAUGCAUACAUGCAUAUAUAUGUAUGUAUACGUUCGUAUUUGUAUGUAUUCGUAUGUUGUAUUUAUAUUUAUAUGUAUUUAUGUUUCUUACUGUGUAUAUUCCACUGAUGAGGCAAAGCAUUCCUAAAUGCAAAACAGAAAUCCGGGAUCUGGAAUUAUCCAGUAAUUUUUUACUAGUUUCAUCUUGUCUCUUUGUCUUCUCUUCGUGUUGCUAUAUGGACACUUAGGGUGGUUUUAGGGUCAGAUCAUGGCUGGUAUUUUCAGCAUCGUGGUAUCUCGUAGAUACCCUAAUUUAUAAUUUUAAUAUGUGUGUGUGUGUAUAUAUAUAUAUAUAUAUAUAUAUAUAUAUGUGUGUGUGUGUGUGUGUGUGUGUGUGUGUGUGUGUGUGUGUGUGUGUGUGAGUGUGUGUGUGUGUGUGUGAAUGAGUGUAUGUUUCUGUGUGAGGCUAUAUGUGCAUGUGUGCGUUCUUGUUAAAAUAUAUAUUCAACUAAGUACGCUGAAGACUAUCUACAUAUCUAUAAUAAUCAUGCAAAUUAAAAUGCUUCAAAUAUUAUUAAGCUUCAGCCCGCAUCCUCCCUCACAUCUCUCUAGAACGGUCUGCAGAAAAAAAGUGAAAUACUGUAAGAGAUUAAUAUAAAAAAUCAUAACUGUGUUAUUGUGCAAGUUACCUCGCAUGAUCCUAUUGAGCUGGCCUUUAAUUUGAUGACUGUUCACCGGUUUAGUGCGGUGGAGUGUGUGGAGGUCCCAUCCACCUUAAUGGAUUAGCAACUACAUACAAAAAUGUAGAUUAAGAAGAAGCAAAUACAAUAAUGAUCUUGCUGCGUGGAAUAAUGAGAUACUUAUAACUUUGUAGAAAGUUGGCAGCAAUCAGCCACACGAAAUCGGUAUUGUUAAUUGAGAGAAAAAGAGAAAAAAAAAAAGGGAAUAAAGGUUAAGUUCUUUCUGAGCAAAUGAACGAUAUAUUUGAAUUUAUCGCUAUUUGUUUUAGCGUAAAAUACAGCAAACAAGGAAAAACUUUUUUAACCAGUUGUAGGCCUUCUGUGUGUUGCGAGUUUAUUAAUGUUUAUAUGUAUGCGAAUGUGAAAGCAGCAGGGCUGGAAGAGUCGUUAGCAAAAAUUUUAGCGGCGUUUCGUCUGUCUUAACGUUCUGAGUUCGCAUUCCGUUGAGGUUGACUUCGCCUUUUAUCCUUUCCGCGUCGAUAAAAUAAGUACCAGUUGAAACCUGGGGUCGAUGUAAUCAACUUACCACUUCCCCGAAAUUACUGAUUUUUUGUCAAAAUUUGAAGUCAAUAUGCAUGUAGAUGUGGGUGUAAGUAUGGUGUCAUACAUACACAUGCACACUCAUUUAUAUAUAUAUAUAUAUAUAUAUAUAUAUAUAUAUAUAUAUAUAUAUAUAUAUAUAUUUAAUGAAAUGGAUAAAUGAAUUAUCUUGUUACGGAUUAUUCAAAAUUUAACCGAUACCUGUGUAGCAAAAAUCACACCAGAAAAGAUACGGUUGAGGUUACGACCAUGGGGUUUCGCCCCCGUGCUUUAGCGCGGAUAAUUGAAGUUUUAUAUAUUUAGUGAAGGGAAGAAAUGGAGCCGAACGAAGAUUCUACAAAAUUCCCUUUUAUUAUUUUCUACACAUGUUUCAAAGGCUGCAAAUUCCCAAAUUCGGAUUGAAUAAGGAGACCAAUCUGUAGCUUUCUCUUCAGGAAAAUCCAGGAAUUUAAAAUCUCAAAACAAAUGCGCAGCAAGCUUUUCGAACAAAACGCUCCCUAGGAGCCCAUGGUAAAAAUGGCACAAAACUGUCUCUCAAUAUGCGCUGAUGUCAGAGUGGGUGAAGGCCGACGAAAAAAUCCGUUGGAAUAAACCUAGGUCAAACCACGGUCAAAUCAGGUAGGGGAAGAAUCACAGAAAACCCAAAGAUUGUGAAUAUAUUCUGUAUAACUAGUGUUAAUGUUCGAUUUUAUCGGUGGCUGUACCGUUUGAUAGGGGCAAAAGAAUCUGUAAUCUCUGCAACUCUGAGCUUUUUCACAUUUUGUUCGCCCGAGGGCAGCUAGUGAACGGGAUUUUGCAACACUCUUUCAGAUGUCCCCACUGGAGGCGACUGACAUUUCUUGCAUACAAUUGAAGCCUAAGAUAAUUAACACCUUGAUGUCAUAAGAAAAGAAAAGAAUUGUUUGGAAGAAAUUUGGAAAAAAUUUUGAAUUAAAUUUGAAAGGGGAAAUUACUCCCCUUUUAGCGUAUGUUCUGCUACUUUUUUUAGAAACAAUAUCAGGGAUUAUACUCCCCUGUUUUUUGACAAGUCAUCUGUAUAUAAACUGGUCAUAGACGAACACACAGACACAGAAUUUUAUCAGCCGCUUGACCAGCAAUGCCUACAAUACAAUAUAUUUUCUCUCUAGCUGCUUCCUAACAUACUUCCACACAUACAUAGACGCAUACACACACACAUACAUGUAGGUAGUUCCUCACACCCAAAUAAGAUAGCUGUCAUUCUUAAAACAAUUUGAACAUUAACACUAGUUAUACAGAAUAUAUUCACACUCUUUGGGUUUUCUGUGAUUCUUCCCCUACCUGAUUUGACCGUGGUUUGACCUAGGUUUAUUCCAACGGAUUUUUUCGUCGGCCUUCACCCACUCUGACAUCAGCGCAUAUUGAGAGACAGUUUUGUGCCAUUCUUACCAUGGGCUCCUAGGGAGCGUUUUGUUCGAAAAGCUUGCUGCGCAUUUGUUUUGAGAUUUUAAAUUCCUGGAUUUUCCUGAAGAGAAAGCUACAGAUUGGUCUCCUUAUUCAAUCCGAAUUUGGGAAUUUGCAGCCUUUGAAACAUGUGUAGAAAAUAAUAAAAAGGAAUUUUGUAGAAUCUUCGUUCGGCUCCAUUUCUUCCCUUCACUAAAUAUAUAUAUAUAUAUAUAUAUAUAUAUAUAUAUAUAUAUAUGUGUGUGUGUGUGUGUGUGUGUGUGUGUGUGUGUGUGUGUGUGUGUGUGUGUGAGUGUGUAUGUGUGUGUGUGUGUGUAUAUGUAUACGAACGUAUGUCUGUGUCUAUGAAUCUUUGUGUGUUUGUGUAUAUUAUAUAUGUCUGCAAAUUGCUGCAGGCUUAAUUUGUUAAAAUCUACUCUGAAAUUUUGUUGGUAAGACAUUAGAAAAUAGAAUAUACUAUUUCUAGCAGCUGUUCUGUCUAGAUUUUGCAGAAUGCAUUUGCGGGAGAUUCAAAACAAUUCUGUUGUAUUAUAACAUUGGGGCAUGAAAUUAUUUCAUAAAAUAUUCCAUACCCUUAUUUACUUGACAUUAUUUGUACUUACAACAGUCCACUCACGGUACCCUCUGUUGACCAAUGAAUUCGGUUUUAGUUACUUGUCUAUCAUCAGCAUAUUUAUAUGUUACCACGUCUUCGAAGAAGUAUUUUAAUGCGGUCAGAACCAGUGGAUACACACCGUAGUCGUGUCAGAAAUUUGUAUUGUUUGAUUGGAUAUCUGCGUAGUUGCUUCAUCCAGAGACAGGUUUGAAAUGUCAAGGCGAUUUCGCGGAAUAUCUUUUGAGUCGGGGCAGUCUUUUUAGAACCAUAUCUAAUUUUAUUAUCCGAAUUGUUGUUCUACACGUUAAUAUUAUGGAUUUAACUUUUGAUAUAUCCGACAUCCGAAACAACACAUCUAAUGUAGUUUGAUUUUUAUUCCACAUACGGUUGAUUUAAUGUCCGAAAAACAUGCAACAACAUUGUAACAUCAAAGUAGGCGAGAAAUAUGUUGGUUUCUAAUAAGUUACACUGUGUCGUUUUGCAACAAAAAUCAUGCGAAAAUUUAUUUUUCACUGCGUAAAAGAAUAGAAAACACUGGGGCAAAUCUUUGGUACAAAAGAAAGUGGCGUCGUCUUUAAACAGUCUUUACUAUGUCAUAAGCCAUUCUCUAUAACGUGCAAUGAAUUUUUUUGACAGAAUUUAUUGAAUGAUAAAGCUCCAUCCUCGCGUGAUCAUGUCGAAGAACGGCACCUAGUGACGUCUUUGAUAUUUUAGGAGUUUGGUUGGAUAAUACAAAGUUGGUUUCAUGUUUUUUUCCUUUGUGUAUAUUUUAAAGGUUUCAUUUUGUCGAAUAAAUAGAGGCAUAGGCUUCAAAACCACAAAGAGCCGGAAAGCUGCCGCAAAGUACUUUGUCUAACGCUCAAACAAUUCUGUCACUUAUUAUCAUAGACUGGUAUUUUAUUUCUACGACUCCAGAAGGAUGACCGCGACAAUUGACUUCGGCAGGAAUUGAAUUUGCUGGAACAAAUUCUACGAGACACAUACUCUCAGCUAAUUCGAUGCUUAAAAGUAUGUUACAAGGCUACAGUUUCAAUUAAUAGAAUCAUGAUAGUAGUUUCAGAGACAUCUGCUUGAAGAUAAACAGCAUAAAUUCAUUGACUUUAGACUUGGCAAACUCCGUGAUAACUGUCUUUAAAUCAUUGGUUGAAAUCAUUGUCACGUCUGCGAGUAGAAACGAAAUAUUAAUUUAGAGUUGUAUUCUUUUAGAAAAAAGCAUAAAACCCACCAGGAGCAACUCGUGAUACGAGAUAAGGAUUGUUUAUUAAUAGAGAUCGCAUUUCGUUAAAUAACAUUAAAUAUGAGUGAUCAGGGGAUUGUUCGUUAUGGUUCGUUUGCUAAGCUAGAAUACUGAUAAAUUUAGCAUAAAAUUAACUUUUAUCAUAAUUCUGUUUCAAAUUAAGUAUGAGAAAAAAUUGUCGGUUUCGAAGAGUUUACACUGUGAAGUAUCGCGACAAAACUCAUGCGAAAAUGUGUUUUCAGCUGCGUGAAAGAAUAGAAAAUGUGUAGCAGCUUCCCACAUUGACCAGAUCCUAAAAUUCAUUGUAUCUCACUUUUAAAUUUCAAGCAUGUUACAAUAAUGAAGUUGUGUUUAUCAGUAUGUCCAAAGGAAUAUAUUAACUGGACAUACCAACUCUUAAGCGUACUGUCAGUAAGGCCCUUAUAACUUUUCACCGCCGUCUGUGAAUGUCACCUUCACACGGUAUGCGAAUGCCAUUGUGAGGUGUAUAUAGAGUGUCAUAUUAAGGCAGGUGCACCUAAGUGGCAGAUUUUGAAAACUUCUACAUGUAGAAUUAAUAUUGUAGCUUCUGGUUAUUGCAAGAUUCAGAUUUGGGAUACAACUGAAGCCAAUUUUAAUAUUAUUUUUAUUGAGCAGCAUUUGAUAGAAAUGUUUGCGCGAAAAGUACUCACGAUGGCACAUAGAAUUUGAGGGGAGAGUUACAUGUAGAGAUAUAUGUUCAUCUAGAAAUUAAUGGUUUCUACAGUAUAGCUCUCACCAUACUGACUAACAUACACAUAAUUAUGAUUUAUCUUCUUUUGAAUAACUUUCAAACCCAGUAGGUGUUCCUCUCUGUUUCUAAGAUAUAUUAGUGUCAUCAUUUGUUUGUGUAAAUUGUUGUUGUUGUAGACAUCAGUGUUAGCUGGUUUUAAAGCUUGUAGUUUCUGGUGUCACUUUUGAAUUUCACUUGUUAAAUAAUAUGCAAUAAGAAUUUAGUUUGUUCACAUUUGUAUGUGCUACGUGGCUGGUAUGAUCGGUUGUAGGGGAUAGUAGAUGUUGUACUGGUCGUGUUGUAUUCUUGGGUUGCGACGGAAUAGAAUAUAAGCUAUGGGGGCUUUCGUGUUGUGGUAUUAGAUAUCAAUUAUGAAUAGCAUACGUUAUUUUAUUGGAUUUUUACCUGCUAAAAAUGUUUUGUUCGGUUGCAUAAAAUAUUGUUCGAUAUUAAUCCCGUACAAUAAGCAUUGCGCGUAGAAAUUAUACUUUGAAUUGCAUUCCAGUUGUCAUUUUUAUGCCGCUUUCAAAAUCCUUGUAAUUCGACUGUUUCUCCGCCUUUGGGCAAUGUUUUGAUCAAAAGUGACCGAAAUGCAUAUCAGAGUAUGGCUAUACUUGUUGCGAUCCAUAAUAUUUAUAUCUAGACGAUCUAGCCUUUUCUCUUUGCCUCUAUGGACACAUUGUGACUAUGCCGUUGUCAUGUAUCAUAAACGUUAUGUUUCUACCACAGCUUGUAUUUAUAUAAAAACUAGCAGUAUCGCCCGGCGUUGCUCGGGUUUGUUAGGGAAAUAACUAUAUAAGCAUUUUUAGAGAUGUAAAGUAUAAUAGCCAUCUCAAUAUGGUUAACCACAAAGGGGGGGGGGUGUUACUGUUGCUUUUUACGUUCUGAGAUUUAAUAAUAAACUUUUAGAGAGUUACUUCCCUUAUAUAUGCCAAGAAUGCAUUAAAAAUGGGAAAAAUUG